UAUCUUUGAACUCCUAUCCCAACCUCCACGUGGUGCUAGCUGGAUUAUAUCUGUUGCGCGAUCCUACAGGAUCAUGCAAUGUUUAUAAACAGAUAGGGAAGG
rnacentral:ribozyme from 1 species